rnacentral:misc_RNA from 1 species
UCCCUACUUGCUGUAAGGCAGUCCCAUGUGAAUAUGUAACACAUAGCAGGGGUUGCGCUCGUUACGGCACUUAAGCCGAUAUCUCACGACACGAGCUGACGACAGCCAUGCAGCAGCUGUGUACCACCCUCGAAGGCGGCCUCUGUUUCCAGAAGCUUGCAGGUACAUGUCAAGCCCAGGUAAGGUCUUUCGCUUCGUAUCGAAUUAAACCACAUGCUCCACCGGUUGUGCGCUCCCCCGUCAAUUCCUUUGAGUUUUAGCCUUGCGGCCGUACUACCCAGGCGGAAUGCUUAACGCGUUAGCUUACGACAGCCAGUAAAAACCGGCCAUCUAGCAUUCAAAGUUUACAGUUAGGACUAC